AUUCAACAUAGUUAAAUCAUUAUUUAAUUGAUCGAUUUUAUUUCUAUCGAUAUUUCUCAAAAAUUCGGCUUCUUUUUCACAAUCCCAUUUUUUGAAGCCCUUUCUUUCAUGGCAUGUAAAAUCGUUUAUUAAAAUGUCAUCGCAUUCGACGAUGUUAUCAAUCGAGUUGAAGACUAGCUUACAGUUCAGAGGCGAAUGAACAUCGGAAAAAAAGAGCAGAAAAAUCAAGUACAGACAUAUUUACAACACAUGAUAACAAAUUAUAUGUACAAAUAAAAUAGUCAACCACACUUGACUGGCGACAUGUAAAUAAGCCUUCUUUAUCACCUUCAACCCUACCGUUUAAAAUAAACAGAUUGUUAUUUCUACA
rnacentral:lncRNA from 1 species